rnacentral:rRNA from 1 species
AGUAAUGUCUGGGAAACUGCCUGAUGAGGGGGAUAACUACUGGAAACGGUAGCUAAUACCGCAUAACGUCGCAAGACCAAAGAGGGGGACCUUCGGGCCUCUUGCCAUCAGAUGUGCCCAGAUGGGAUUAGCUAGUAGGUGGGGUAACGGCUCACCUAGGCGACGAUCCCUAGCUGGUCUGAGAGGAUGACCAGCCACACUGGAACUGAGACACGGUCCAGACUCCUACGGGAGGCAGCAUG